GCUCGCUCGAGCUCGGCGCGGACCCGCCCGGGAGCGCUCCUCGCAGCAGCUGCCCGGGUUCCCACCGCCCUACCGGGCGCGAGCGAUCAGACUACCUCGGAGGGCGCGCUCAGACACCCAGAUGUUCGGCCACCUCAGUGGGUACCCUCGGCACCCUGUGAUCCGACCACCCGCGGAGGCGCGCUAGCCCUCUGGGUGGGCGUGCUGGGCUUCUCUGCGGCGGAAGUCUGGACCACAGAUUGUGACUUCUUUUCUAGCAGUAGGUGUUGACUGGUCCGACUGCUGCCCUUCUGCCCAAGAGUAGUUCAAACUGAAGGGAAGAAAACAUAUGUGCUGCUUGGUCUGCCAUCUUAAACCAGAAGUCUGAAAUACGGGUCUGAAUGCUGCUCGCAAGGAUAUCUUACAUUGAGGAUAGCAGGCACCAGAGACUCUGUACCAUAAACAUUUCCACAAGAAACGGCCUCUAACUGAACCUGGAACUCACUGACUGAACUCGAGUUGCUGUUGAGAAAGCCCCAGGGACUGUUUGGUCUUCUCCCGCUCAAAAUUUGCGAUGCAGUGCCUCCUCAGGCCCAUCAAAGUCUUCCAGGAUCACGCAGAGGACCAUGCCACAGUCGGAAGUGAGGUAAACAAGUCUCCUUAUUGCUAUAUUUUAUAAUUAUCAGACAAGAGAGUGGAGUUCCCACCUGAAGCCCCUCAGGCCUGUGUGAAGCUUAACCAUGUAUGUACUCAAUGUAGGUGUGAUCAGUUUUCAGAUCCAUGCAAAUGUGAGCUGACUUUCCCCUGAUGUUUGCUGAGUGCAUGCCAACAGCAUUCUGCAUGGCUAACCUGCCUCAGCAACCAGAUCCCUGGAACUGUCAUAUGCAGAGGCUCUGUGGUGUGGCCAUUUUAUAAAUGAGCCACGGGAAGGCCAGAGAAAGAAACAGCAUGCUCCAAGUCAGAGCAGAAGGCAGCUUCCCUAGGAUCUGUUUAAUGUUUGCUUCUUUACAACACAGGAUCUCGUGAAACCCAAGCUAGCCUCAGACUCAACUGCAUAGCUGAGGAUACCCUUGAACUUGAUUCUCUAAUAUUUCUACCUCAUACCCAGUUCAUGAGGUAAUGCGGAUAGAACCCAGGGCUUCCUGAAUACUAGGAAGGCACUCUACCAACUGAGCUACAUCCCCAGAUCCUCCUCUGGGGAUAAGCCCAGGUUCAAAUCCAAGGCCUUAACAACAUCGGGACACGGACAUAAGACACAGCACUCUACUGGACCUGGGCAUGCUCCUACCCUGUCUAGUGAUCGCAAAAGCCAUCUUUUUAACAGCCCACGUUAUGAUUCUACCAUCAGACCAGAGAGGCCCUAGAUAGCCCAGCUUCCCAUUGUAAGUCAUCUUCGACAUGCUUAACCGAUGGCUGUGUGGGACUGCUAGAAAGUUUGGAAAUCACCAAGCGCUUUGACUUUCCUGCCCACAAAAACAGUUGGCCUUGGCAGAUGUCCAACGCGUUGACCUUAGAUCCAUUUAAUGAAAACCCUAUUAAUUCAAAAAGAAAGAAAGAAAAUAAGGCAAAAUAGGACAGGCAGUAGAAAGAUCUUUACAAAAAUCUUGUGUGCCCUUCCUCCACUGUUGCCUUGACCAGACAGGGCCACAAAGCUGAUACGACAGGAUUAGGACAAUUGCUUUGUUAACACACAAGCACAGCGUGACAUGAACUCCAGGAAAGGCAUUUGGCAGGAUUAACCUGCUGAGGAUAAAGAUGUAGCAGACGGGACCUGAAUUAAUGGACUGGUAUGGCCAAAGUGGAGAAAUCUAUUUGCAUGUAAUAUUAACUGUACUAAUAAACUCCAGGCGGGGAUCCAACAGCCCGGGAGCCUCUUUGAACCAGGACUUGAUCCCUGCACAUCCUAUCUCUGCUAAGAUGUGUGAGUGUAAGCCGGCUGCCUGCAGAUUACCACUCUGUCCUUGGUGCCUGCAAUAGCACAGGCCCUUUACUGACUGCAACUCAAGCAGAUCCCACUUACAAUAUUAUUUACAACCUAUGGAAAAGCAAUGAAGAAAUGCAGGUUCAACACAUGUAGAAAAUAUCCACCAGGGCCUGGAAAGAUGGCUCAGUAAUUAAGAGCCCUGGCUAUUCCUCCAGAGGACCCGGGUUCAAUUUGUAGCAUCCAUGGGGCAGCUAAGAGUCAUCUAAAGCCCAUCUGAAGCCCUCUUCUGACAUCUGCAGGCAUGGUGCAUACAUGGUACAUACACACACAUGCAAAACACAUAAAAUAAAAAAAUAUAAAAUUUAAGAAGAAAAUGCCUACCUGACCCAGGCUGUUGGCCUGACUUGUAUAUUCUGAUUCCUUGAAAGUCUGUGUGGGGCUAGGGUGAGCAAGCAGACACCUGGGAUGUGACAUUUCAAGGAGGUACCACAGUCUGGCUCAGUCUCAGAACAAGGUGAGUGCCUAAAGAUUCAUGCAUUGCCCCUCAGACUGCCCUACUGCAGGUUACCAUAGGAACAGUAUAAUCUAUACCCAUUCAAAAUCAAUACACUUACAACAGAUAGCUGGAUGUUGGGCGGUGUGGUGGAGGAGAAGAAUGUAGGUGGGUGGGGACCUCUGAGGGGUCCUAUAAAAUACAUCUCAGAUCAUUGCAAUCAAAGAGCAAGAGAGCCUGGUAUUUAUCUACCAGCUCUUUACUGUAUCUGGCUCAGAGAGUAAUUCCCCACCAUGCAGACUAGACAUUCUCCCCCAAAGAAGCUAGGGAACCUAGAGCAACAGCCUAUGUACAAGAAUGCCUAGGCCAUAUGGAGUGUAAAAAGGUGUGAGUCAGGGUGUGAGUGACACCCACUUAAAGUUCUUGUGUACUUCAACAAAGAACUGGACUAGGAACACUGAAUAAAGAUUG
ensembl:lincRNA 9530059O14Rik RIKEN cDNA 9530059O14 gene